UAACGUGUUAGCACAUGUCGUACCAGUGGAUUACGUUUGUAACUGUAUUUUAGCUGCUACGUGGAAAACCUCAAUAGAAAAAAAAUCGGUUACUAAAGUUUUUAAUUACAUUGGGUUUAAAAGAAGACAGCUCAACUGGGGGCAGUUUUCUUCCUGCAUGAAUUCGUUGUACUGGAAAGUGCCCUCUCAGAAAUUAAUUUGGUACAGAGUCGCCAAAAACCACGGCAAACUAUAUCACCAGAUAUACACUUUUUUGUUGCACACAAUUCCAGCGUACCUUAUUGAUGCUGUUUUGUACUGUAUAGGAAAGCCAACCAUUGCUGUGAAAACCUACGCAAAAAUCGAUAAAGUUCUCAUGCUUAUAUCAUAUUUUACUACUCACAAUUUUGAUUUUGAUGAAGAUAACGUACAAGAUUUGUGGACGGAGAUGAGCGAUGACGACAAAACGUUGUUCAAUUUCUCAAUGGAAGACUUA